UACUGAUGAAGAAACCAGGUGUCAGAGAGGUUAGGUAACUCCCCUGAUAUCACACAGCUGAUAAGGAGCACAGCCCACAAUCAGACCCAGGGCUAUAAAUAAUGCCAACGUGAGAAGAGGCAAUUCUCACUUCCUGCCUUUGGGAGAGAACUCCUGAUUGUGCUUUGCCAGGAAUCCACUGGCACAAAUUUACUUUUAAAGUUUGCUGGACUUGUGCUCAUUCUACUAAGGACUUGCUUUAUUGGCACAUUGAGUAUUUGCUGACAGUCUCCUGAUUCACUUCUUUAUGCCUUGGCUCCCAUAGAAGUUUUUCCUACGUACUUGGCAUUUAAGAAGCUCACACAGCCACCACUAUAGUCUCAGUUUGGAAGCUGGUGAACUCUGUGUCCUGCCUGGGGAAACGGCACCUGAUAAGAAGAUUCCAGAAUCACUUUUGGGGUCGCGCUCCUAAACAAUUGGAGGGAAAACAACAAACAUCUUCAAGCCAUCUUGAGACUUUCUCCUCCACAGGCAGCUCUUUGGAGUGUUCAGGUAGGGGACUGAACUGCGGGCAUCAGUGAGGGCAGAGACUGGGCCAGCAAGGGCAGAGUCUGAUCCUCUCGGGAUUAAAUGUUACAGCUCUCUUCUCUGUUGGGAGCUUGAGCAAAUACCUUAAAAAAUCCCAUUUCAUGCUCAUUAUAAAUUCUGGUUAAAUGAAAUAACCAUAAGAAGUAAAUUGAAACUACUCUCAAGGGAUCUAUAGAAGACUGAACUAAGAAUUGGAGAGUAUUUUUAAAGACUAUAUAAUAAAAAUGAUUAUUGAAUCUGCAUUUUGGGUAAGAUAAAAUAUAAACUUAUGCCAACAUCUGGUUUCUUUUACAAGUCCUGAUUUUUAUAUAUUUGCAAAAAAAAAAAACCAAAAAACCUUUGUGUAUCUAUAUAAAUACACAGAGGAUAUAAAGUUAUUUAUAAAACCAUAUAUGGAAUAUAAACAAAAAAAAAUCUGUCUUGGAUUUAUGCUUUAUUGUCCCAGAAUAAGAAUGUUUUUGCCUUUGUUUGG
rnacentral:lncRNA from 1 species